rnacentral:rRNA from 1 species
UACGUAGGGGGCAAGCGUUGUCCGGAUUUAUUGGGCGUAAAGAGCGUGUAGGCGGCCAGGUAGGUCAGCUGUGAAAACUCGAGGCUCAACCUCGAGAUGUCGGCUGAAACCAUCUGGCUAGAGUCCGGAAGAGGAGAAUGGAAUUCCCGGUGUAGCGGUGAAAUGCGCAGAUAUCAGGAGGAACACCGAUGGCGAAGGGCAGGUCUCUGGGCCACUACUGACGCUGAGAAGCGAAAGCAUGGGGAGCGAACAGGAUAGAUACCC